rnacentral:rRNA from 1 species
UCCUACGGGAGGCAGCAGUAGGGAAUCUUCCACAAUGGGCGAAAGCCUGAUGGAGCAACGCCGCGUGAGUGAAGAAGGAUUUCGGUUCGUAAAACUCUGUUGUAAGGGAAGAACAAGUACAGUAGUAACUGGCUGUACCUUGACGGUACCUUAUUAGAAAGCCACGGCUAACUACGUGCCAGCAGCCGCGGUAAUACCA